AAAUAUGUUUCCGUAAGGCCAGAUUCUUGGGCAAAGUUGUUUUAGCGAUCUGGUUGCAACUAAGGUAAACGUUUAUCAUGCAAAUAUUGCUCUCUCCUUGGCGAUACCUUGUUGGUAGAAGUAGAAUUUAAAAUAUAUUGGGAGGCAGAUGAUGAAUAAAUGAACAAAAAAUAUAAUAAUGGAUAUGUAUUUAUAAGUGCUAUGAAGAGAAGAAAUCCAAGCAAGAAGAGAGUGAAAUGAGGUAUCCUGUAAGAACAAAUUGCUGCCUCCUCCAGGUGGAAAGGGAUCAAAUAUAAUUAAUCUGUGUGUGCCACACAGUAGCUUGAUAGUUUAAUUGAGGAAUGUUGACAUAUUGAGAGCUCAGCAUUACUUUCUGCUAUCAGCAGUGACGCAUUUACUGAUCACCUACUCUGAGAAAUCACUCUCUAAACUCUGGGGAUGCAGUUCUGAGGAGGAUACAGUUCUGUCUUCAGAAAAUGCUGAUGGAAAUAAUUUUAAUGAACAGUAAUGGUAAAAGGAGAUAAACGAAAACAGAAUCAAUGUGUGCAAAGUGACAGAAGUAAGUACCAAAUAUGUUUAUAAGAAGCAGAAGACCAAGUGUGCUGAAGUAUAAGAUACCAAAAAGAAGUAGAGAGAAUAUGGCAGAGAAGAGAGAUUUGGAAUAUCUUAUCCAUUAAGUCAUUAAGUCAAGUUGUUUGCUUUUAUUAUUAUUAACAAUGGAGAGCUAUUGACAGCUUUAGUCAGCAUGGGCUUGAUUAAACAAUGGGAACUGUUAAUGGGUUAUUGUGUAUAGAAAUACUUCAUAAAGGAAAUAGUGGAGAGAGAAAACUAACUAGAGGGUUAAUGUCAUAGAUCAAGUGAAAGGUAAUAAGUGGUUUAAAAAGUUCCAGUAUUUGGUAAGAAUGGAUAUUAUUAGGUAAAAUUAAGAAGUCAUAACAAUAUAUUUUUAAAUGGUAGGUGUGAGAGCGAAGGUUCAACUGUAAUGUUUAAGUUACUGGGAGAAGAGAACUAUUAUUCUGAAACAAGGAAGUCAUUAUGGGUACCUACUGAAUUGAGGACAUAAUAUUUAUUCUGAGCCAUAUUAAGUUCAUUGUGCUAGUAAUACAUACAGGUAGACAUGUAGUCUGGCUCUCAAGUGGUAAUCUUGACUAUUCUAUGACUUUGGUAGUCUAUCCAUGUGCACUUGUAAAUUAGGUUUAUACACGAAUCUUUUUCCUCAUUUCCCUGGCACAAACUGCCUGCCUUUUCCUCAGCUUUCUUCUCUCUUCUUUCUAAAGCCUUAGAAGACAUUGGCAACUAGCCCAUGUCAGUAAGUGACAAUAGACUUUCCCUGCUCCACCAACACCAACACGAUUGCUUUUUAAUGGAGGAUUUCUGCAUACACAAUUGCUGUGUUUCAAAAGGUUGAUCUCUCAGGAUUUAAUUUAGAUAAUCAGAAAUUGUUAACAGGGAAAGUAAUUGGGGCAUAGGAUAUUAGAGUGGUCUCUCAAUGCCUAUUGUACUAUGUAGGAUUAACCACUGUUUGAUUUACCUAGGUUUGAUCUUUGUCAUCAUAAAGUUGACUCAGCUACACAAAAAAAGAUGCAUAUUUUAGGACUGUUUUGUUACAAGUCCAAUUUAUGUUUCUGUGAUAAAUCAACUUAUUCUUUAUCUCAGAAGCUUGAAAUAAUUUCAUUGGCUCCUGUUUAUAUUAUGAAUCAGCCCAUUAAUUAAGUCCUAAUCCUAAGUGUAGAAAGACAGAUUUAUUUUGUUAAAAAAAACUGUAUGCACAGCAUUAAUUCAAUUUUGUAAAAACUGUGCAUGCAUAUAUAUUUGGAAAGAUGUCCAAAGAAAUAUUAAAAUUGGUAACCUCUGAGCAGUAAGAUUAAAUGUGAUUUCAAAUUUAUUCUUUAUUCUUUGUCGUAUUGUUCAAAUUAUCCAUAAUGAACAUGUAUUACUUUUAUAAUCUGAAAAAAAAUUCAGAGAAAGUAAAAGGGUUAUUCAUCACAUAAUACAUUUAUGGAGUAGAAUUCACUUGGCCUUAAAGGCGUGCAAAAUUCCCACCCCAAAGACAGCCGGGAAGGAAACAUAUCAGUGCCAACACAGCAACCUCAGACUUCUGUGUAGAUUGGGGCCAUUGUACAGUAGCAUUACGCUCACAACGACCUGCUCAGUCUCUCGUGGCAACUAUUGAAUUCUGACUGAGGCCACUCCUGUUCAUUCUCUUGCCUACUAGCGUAAGUCACUUGGUUGGGCACAGCUUAAUUCUUGACUAUGGAUUUCGUGAACUCCUCUUAUAAAAUGGUACAAUUACUGCAGGUCACGAACAUCAAAUGCCACUAACACUUCCAGCUGUGACCACGGAAUAGCCUCCCAACAGAAGUACUGCAACAUGGUAAUAAUAACAUCCCAGCUGUAGCCACAAUCACCGAAAUCACUGACAGUGUCAAUAAUGUAUAAAACCCCAUGGAAACUCAACUGUACUUGCCAAAAGGCAUUCAUCAAUUUCAUUGCCUUUUAUCUACCAUUUAAAAUGGUCUGGUUUUAGUGUUAGGGUUUUUAAAAUAAAUGACUAGGGUAAAUAGGCCCUGGCUGAAUUGCUCACUAUCUGCUGUGAAUUGCUUCUCUAAAUGUUGAGGACGUGAAGUUCAGCCUUAACCACUCAAGUACAUUCUGUAUCCACUACAUGUUAGGUGAUGGGAUGUGAGCAAAGAGAGUUGAGUAUCCAGAGAGGUGAAAUUUACUAAGCCCCAUUACAGCUUAAGUUCAUUUAAAGCAUUGUCAAGGACAUGGUGAAAAUACAGGAGAGGGAACCGCUUUGAUUUCUUAGAAGCCAGUCAGCUUUUGGAAGAUCUAAGAUAGUGAAAAUGUGGGAAGACUGAAGAGAAAAGGUCUAUUUAACUGAUGCUAGGAAUAAUAAACUGUAACAAUCACUACACCUUACAACAGUGUUUUCCUGUAUUUGCUCAAAUACUCUGCAGAGGAGAUAAAACAAUUGCUCGUA
ensembl:lncRNA novel transcript